CAGUUUCUGUAUCUCAGCUCUUGUCUCACCUCCCAGAAGAAUCAGGUCACACAUGGACUUGAAGGAUGAACACCAGAGACUGGGUAAUUAAUAAAAAGAAGAAAUUGAUCUGGCCUACAGUUCUGGAGCCUUGGAAGUCCGAGAUCAAGGAGCUGCAUCUGGGUUCUAGGAUGCCUCAUAAAGGCCCGUAGUGUACUUUCUGUCUACUUCACUUAGCUCCGCAUUUGCAAUUUCUGUUAACAUGCAUACAGUUGAAUGGAUGGCCAGGAUCAAAGCUAUCUGCUGUGAGACACAAUGAGAAAUGCUUUUGUGUAAAGGACUCAAUGAUCACCCGCUCCAGAGGAUGCAGCAAAAAGGUGCCAUCUUGGAAGCAGAGACCAGCUCUCACCAGACGCUGAAUCUGCUGGCUCCCUGAUCUUGGACUUCCCAGGGUCCAGAACUCUGAGAAAUAAAUUUCUAUUGUUUAUAAUGUACUCAGUCUGUGGUAUUUUGUUAUAGCAGCAGGAAUGGACUGAGAGAAAAGCAGCUAGUUGAGGAUUUGAGAAUUUGGGUGUUUUUUUGGUUUUUGGUUUUGGUUUGAGUGAAUCUUUUUGCAAAACAUUUUAGACAUUUUAUGUACAAUAAAAUGCUUCCAUUUUAAAUAUGCAUUUGAGUAGGCUUUAGAAAUGUAUACAACCAUGUAAACACCUUAAUCAAGACACAGAAUGUUUUCAUAACCCUCAAAAGUUCCCUUGUAUCCAGUUGCAGUAAAUCUCCCCUUCUCCCCACCCCCAGGUGACUCCUAAUCUGCUUUCUAUCAGUUUAGAAAAGUUUGCAUUUUCUAGAAUUUUGUAUAGAGGGAAUGAGUCAGACUUUCAUGUAUCAUAAUGCUUUUGAGAUUCACCCAUAUUGUUGCAUGUAUCAGUGGAUUCUUCCUUUUCCUUGCUAAGUUUCAUUCUGUUAUAUAGAUAUACUGCAAUUUAUUGAUCAAUUCUCUGUUAAUGGACAUUUGGAUUGUUUCUAGUUUUGGUGUAUUUUGUAUAAACCGACAGUUCCUGACUUAUGAUGGUUCAACUUUAACAUAAUGCGAAAACAAUACACAUUCAGUAGAAUUCAUACUUCAAGUACCCAUACAACCAUUCUGUUUUUCACUUUCAGUACAUUGCUUAAUAAAUUAUGUGAGAUAUUCAACACUUUAUUAUAAAAUAGGCUUGUGUUAGAUGAUUUUGCCUCGCCAUAAGCUAAUUUAAAUGUUCUGAGCACAUUUAAUGUAGGUUAAGGUAAGCUAUGAUGUCUGGUAGGUUAGGUAUAGUAAAUGCACUUUUGAUUUAUGAUAUUUUCAACUUACGAUGGCUUUAUUGGGACAUAACUCCAUUGUAAGUAAGCCAAGGAGCAUCUGUAUAUUAAAAAGCUGCUAUGAACAUCUGUAUACAAGUCUUUUUGUAAAUGCAUGUUCUGAUUUCUUUCAGAUAAAUACCUGGAGUGGGAUUGCUAGAUCACAUGGUAAAUAUGUAUUUAAAUUUAUGAGAAACUGCCAAAGUAUUUUCCAAAGUAAUAGUAACAUUUUACACUCCUACCAGGACUGUCUGAGAGUUCCAGGUGCUCCACAUCCUUACUGACACUUAGUAUUGCCUGUCUCUUUAAUUUUGGUUGUUCUAGUGGGUGUGAAAUGGUAUCUUGGUUUAGUUUUAAUGUGCAUUUUCCUAAUGCCUAAUGGAAUUUUCCUUCACCUAAUGGCUAAUGAGGUUGGGGUCUUUCCAUGUGCUUAUUAGUCAUUCAUAUACCUCCUUUAGCAAAGGGUCUUUUCAAUUAUCUUGCUUAUAUUUAAUUGGUCUGCCUUCACAGUUGAGUUGUAUUAGUUCUUUAUAUAUUCAACGUACAAGUCCUUUGUUAGAUAUAUGUUUGCAAAUAUUUUUUUCCCAUUCUGUGGUUUCUCUUUCAUCUUCCUAAUGGUGUUUUUCAAUGAGCAAAAAUUAAUUUUAUAAAAGCUUAGUUUACCAAUUAUGUUUUUAAUAGUUUGUUGGUCUUAUGCUCUAUUCAAUAAAUAU
ensembl:lncRNA ZBED3-AS1 ZBED3 antisense RNA 1